GACAACUUGAGGCACAAAAAGUGAAGUAGAAAAUGAUAUGACCCAAUUUAACAAAAAUUUAGUUUUCAUUAAGAAGUUUGAACUAAACAGUACAUUGAAACAGAACUCAAUGAAUAUGGAUUUUUUAUAGCUUGUAAACUAAGCCUUCCAAAAGAUUAUACAAGUUUAACCGGCCAUUAUAGUCUCUUCAGAAAGCAAUCUAAUACACAAAAAGCAUAUCAUAUUGUCAUCAUUCACUUCGUUCCAGUCAGCUUCCAUAU
rnacentral:misc_RNA from 1 species